UUAAAGAUAUACAUUUACUGUAGAACAUUUUUCAGCUGGAAGUUAUAGAACAGGUCCACUCUUUGACAUGGCUGUUGCACUUGGUGCUGGAAAUCCUAUGUUUGGAUGAACAGCUCCACCUGUGUCCCAUGAAACAUGGAUAUGCCUGUUCCUAAGCACAAGGUAGACAGAGGAGCUUGCCCUUCUUACUGACCCAGAUCUGGUCCAAGCUUAACUGAAAAUGUGCUGAAUAUCAGACAGGGGAUGAGGUAAGUAAAGGGCAACCAUAUUUUUAAUUUUUUUAAAAAUUUGUUUGGUUAUUAG
rnacentral:lncRNA from 1 species